GACGAACGCUGGCGGCGUGCUUAACACAUGCCAGUCGAACGGAAAGGCCCUGCUUUUGUGGGGUGCUCGAGUGGCGAACGGGUGAGUAACACGUGAGUAACCUGCCCUUGACUUUGGGAUAACUUCAGGAAACUGGGGCUAAUACCGGAUAGGAGCUCCUGCGGCAUGGUGGGGGUUGGAAAGUUUCGGCGGUUGGGGAUGGACUCGCGGCUUAUUAGCUUGUUGGUGGGGUAGUGGCUUACCAAGGCUUUGACGGAUAGUCGGCCUGAGAGGGUGACCGGCCACAUUGGGACUGAGAUACGGCCCAGACUCCUACGGGAGGCAACAGUGGGGAAUAUUGCACAAUGGGCGGAAGCCUGAUGCAGCAACGCCGCGUGCGGGAUGACGGCCUUCGGGUUGUAAACCGCUUUCGCCUGUGACGAAGCGUGAGUGACGGUAAUGGGUAAAGAAGCACCGGCUAACUACGUG
rnacentral:rRNA from 1 species